rnacentral:sRNA from 1 species
UUCUUCUGCUAGGCCCAGUGCGAGACCAGAGCACGAGCGACUCCCGUCGUCCCCGGCCAGGCAGAUGUUGCCCUAGUCCUGGCGCGAACGAAGCGCGCUAUUUCCCUGCUUCCUCUAGGCCAAGCCUGCUUUACGGCAGGGCCCGCCUUAGGAGCGAGCACAGACCGGGGCAGCGAGGCCAGCCGGGCGCCGGCGAUGUCCCCGAACGCGCACGCGCUCUGUUCAGCUCCGGGUGGCGGCCGCCGGAGUUGACGUUAGCCAUGGAAACCGAGAACUGGCCCGGGCGGGGCCGCGGUCAGCUCGUUGUUCGGCCGCCGCAGCUUUUCUGCCUCCGCAUUCGGGCAAUAACCAACCUCCCGGCGGGAGCGCCCAGCCCGGGUUUACCUGCAAAAAUGCGGUCCCCGGGAUGCCUUCGCGUCUUCCCUUCCCUCGGGUGACUUGAGUAUCACCUUUUGCCAUGAUAGCAUUUCUUUCAUUGGACAGUUCCUUACAAGG